UCAAUCCCAUCGAGAAUUCCUUUCUCACCACUCAGUUCUUAUCUUCCCCACACAUCCAACCAGCUAGUCUCUGCCUCCAUCUUCCUUUUCCUGCGACAUUUGCCCACCACCCAGCGCCACAUCUCCACCGGCAGCCGACGCGCACCACCAGGCUUCCUCCCACGACUCCGCCACAGGCCCAGCCAGGCCUCACGUGUGCAGGCCGGACGCCAGCCAGGAGCCCAUACACAGUCAGCCGCGCUGCAACAACACCGCCGCCCGUACGCCGCCUACCGCACCAACCACGCCCGAGCAAGCAACUCCCCUCGACCCCGGCUCCCCGUCCGGCAACCGACGCCGUCACGGGCUACCCCCUGCAACUCGAGGAGCAUCACACCCGUGCCAUGAAUCUCCGACCCUGAUGCCCAAGCUCCCACCGCUGUUCGGUGCCAGAUCCGCGCCGCGCCACCUUCUUCGACCGUGUCGGGAGCCGCCGUCGAUGCCCAUGGCUCUGCUCCGCUUCCCCUCUUCCUUGAGGGUGGCACACGUCGGCGUGGUGGUGGGCACGCAACGGCAUGGGGGUUGCCCGGUGGCACAUGGCGGCGUUGGGUGGGCCGGUGGCGCAUGGUGAGGCGGGGCGUGGUGUGGCAUGACAGGAGGUGGAGAUGGGAUAGGGAUUUGUUUGGAGGGGAGUGGGUGGGUUAUUUCUUUUUUUCUCUCGUUAGCACCAGUUCGGGUUGACUUAUAAUAGUAGCGCGGGUUGUAUAUCCGAAACCACAAGGACCUUUGUGUAAAAAGGACACGACGGUGAAUCCGGAGACUAAAUCCAUGCUUUAUUAUUAGGGAGAGAUAUGGAUCAAUAAUAUCAACUAAUAUACAUAAGCCAGGCCGUUGUACUUUUUUUUGCUAGAAGAGCAUCCUUUUUUUAGCGAAGCUA